rnacentral:snRNA from 1 species
GUGCUCUUUUAAGCAGCACAUAUGCUAAAAUGGAUGGAUGUAAAGAAGAUUAGCAUGGGCUCUGUGCAAAGAUGGCAUAUACAUUUGUGAAACAUUCAUGUAGUCU